UUUUAAAUAGACUAUGCCUGUUAAUAAGUAUCCGAAACAUCGACAAUAGUUUAUAGUUAAAUUAAUAGUAAUCUAUGUAAUAUGUAAUCGCAAAAUAAUUGUUAUGUUAUGAAAAGGUUAAUAAUUAAUGACUGUGAACAUUAGAUUUCAAAAUCACCGACAAUAAGGAUCUAACAGAGUACUAUCUUAUUCGUUUAGAUUCUGAUAAGGGAAUCGAUCAUUGGAGGAUUCCAAGCCCAGUCUGGCUAAUAGAUGACUGGAAUUCGACUGUGGUGCUGCGAAUUGAGGGAAGGGCUGGACUUGAUGGAUGGAGAAGCGAUGACCUCGAUAAUGGAGGACUCUGGUGGUUUUGGCCGCUUCAAGGAGUCAUUGGGAUAUGAUGCCCCAAGCAUGCAAAUGGCCAGCCCAAUUGGGAAUGGGUGAGUGGUUCCAAGGUUCUACUAUAGAAUACAAUAGACGUGUUUCAGAUAAUACGCGCAAGGCAAGUCACUGACCGUUUGGCAAAUAGGCUAUAACCAGAACUUUGCCGAUGACAGAUACAGGUGCGUAUGUCUGCAAAGACGGCUACAAAAUAUAUCAACCACAUAAAGCGGAACCCAAAUUUUUUGAAGACAUCAAAGUUAGAUUGGACCCAUGUAGUGGAUACGGUGGGUUUACGUGUUAUAUUGUCUGUGGCCUCAAAAAGUCCGAAAACUUAUCUUAUGUUUAGCCUAUUCGAAUAGGAACGUAUAGUAAUAUGAAUAUACCAUUAAUAACAACUGGUACAUAAGGGUAACAUUAAGGAUAUCAAUAACCUAAAAGUAUUGAGUUUGCAAAAGAAAAAGAUUAGAACUGCAGAAAGUUCAAGUGCUUCUGUGUGAAAGCUUCAGUGAAAUUCAAUUUAAUAGCCACACCUACGAACUUGUAGACAUUAAAGACAAAAUUUCAACAAGGCCUAAGUGAUAUUUUAUCAAAGAUGAGACUAACUCUCAAAGUGGACACAGAAAUUUGAGAUAGACCAAACGACAAUUGCGUGAAAUAAAGAGAUCCAAGAUACUUACCUAUUUGCUAUUGUAUCCUUGCAUACAUGGUAUAAGAUACCAAUGUAUCAGCCUGUAAUGGGAUAUGGAAUGAUUAGAUGAUCAAAAUUCCAUAGGAGUGGCACUGGCAGUAUUGUUUAACUACAGUUGCAGCUAUGGGAGCAUUGGAAAGUGUGUGUGUGUGUGUGUGUGAUGUAAAUAGUUUAGUUAACAUUGGUGUAAUAGCUUAUAAGAAAGAUAUGCGUGAAAUGUUACUUUUAAGAAAAAACGUUAACAUAAAAGAAAUCGAUAAAAGAAGUGAGCUCACGCUUUGUCUCUCCAAACUCGUAUAGUAUGUAAUUCUUUGUGAAUGUACUUCGAUUAAAAUUAUUAUUUUUAAUCAAUAAAAAAGUGUUAAGCUUCGUGUGUUAUUUAUUUCACGUGACUAUUAUCCACACAUGGGACAUGGUCCUUCGAGCUGGAUAUUGAUAAAUAUUAGUGAAAAAAAAUCGUGACAAACAACAAUAAACAGUUUUCAUUCUCGCACGCACUAUAGAUAAUCGUUCGCGAGCGAGAAUGUGGUGAAACAAACGGGAGAUAUCGUGACUAUAUCGAGUAUUUUAAAAGCAAUUUUUUUUCUCAAAAUUCGUCGAUUUCAAAGCAGUGCGUAGUACAAAUAUAUUUAUGCAUAGUACAACGGGACAUUACUACACUGUACGUUCUCAUAAUCACACGUGUGCCAUACAUUAUAAGGUAUUCAACGAGAAGUAUUACGCUAUAAAAUCUUUACGCGACAGUAGCAUGCGUCAAAACGAGAAAAAAUACAUUUCCAAAUCAGCAUCGCGAACGACAGCAGUGAAGCAACAGCGGACGACAGCUCGAUGAGAUUUCACGGCGGCCGAUUCAAUUUUUAUUGGCGUUUGCUACCUGCGCUACCCGAGCGGUACAGUGAGUGCGCGAAGUGAGACGAGAAGUGACGUGCUGUGAAGCAACGAGCGUUAGAGAGCGAUUUUGCGAAAGUGGAGAACAAUGAGUGUGCGAGGAAUCUGUCUCGCGUAAUGGACGCCACCGACGAUCAGAUGUCGACGGUGGAAGAAAGAGGCAGUUUCUCCUUGGUGAAACGGAGGAAGAAGAAAGAAAAAAGAGGAAAG